GCCAGACUCCUACGGGAGGCAGCAGUGAGGAAUAUUGGUCAAUGGGCGCGAGCCUGAACCAGCCAAGUCGCGUGAGGGAAGACGGUCCUAUGGAUUGUAAACCUCUUUUGUCAGGGAGCAAAGGGCGCCACGUGUGGCGUUUUGCGAGUACCUGAAGAAAAAGCAUCGGCUAACUCCGUGCCAGCAGCCGCGGUAAUACGGAGGAUGCGAGCGUUAUCCGGAUUUAUUGGGUUUAAAGGGUGCGCAGGCGGAAUGUCAAGUCAGCGGUAAAAUGUCGGGGCUCAACCCCGUCGUGCCGUUGAAACUGGCGUUCUUGAGUGAGCGAGAAGUAUGCGGAAUGCGUGGUGUAGCGGUGAAAUGCAUAGAUAUCACGCAGAACUCCGAUUGCGAAGGCAGCAUACCGGCGCUCAACUGACGCUCAUGCACGAAAGCGUGGGUAUCGAACAGGAUUAGAUACCCCCGUAUA
rnacentral:rRNA from 1 species